GGCUAUGUGGCUGGACUGCUACGUGCUUAUUGGUACGUCCAAGGAAAGAACUCAAGAGGGUUGGCCUCGAUGUGUGGCAUGUCGAGGCAUCGCACGGGUGUUUGGAUAAGAAAAUACACACCCCGUGAUAGUUGGUAUCAGAGCCAGGUUGGCUAAUUCGAUGGUCGACGUUGUGCUUGGUGUUAGCUUCUAGUAUGUGUGAUAUCAAGUUGCAUAUUUUGGUUGUGCAUACAGAGGUAUCC
rnacentral:lncRNA from 1 species